rnacentral:rRNA from 1 species
GAUGAACGCUGGCGGCGUGCCUAAUACAUGCCAGUCGAGCGAACGGACGAGAAGCUUGCUUCUCUGAUGUUAGCGGCGGACGGGUGAGUAACACGUGGAUAACCUACCUAUAAGACUGGGAUAACUUCGGGAAACCGGAGCUAAUACCGGAUAAUAUUUUGAACCGCAUGGUUCAAAAGUGAAAGACGGUCUUGCUAUCACUUAUAGAUGGAUCCGCGCUGCAUUAGCUAGUUGGUAAGGUAACGGCUUACCAAGGCAACGAUGCAUAGCCGACCUGAGAGGGUGAUCAGCCACACUGGAACUGAGACACGGUCCAGACUCCUACGGGAGGCAGCAGUAGGGAAUCUUCCGCAAUGGGCGAAAGCCUGACGGAGCAACGCCGCGUGAGUGAUGAAGGUCUUCGGAUCGUAAAACUCUGUUAUUAGGGAAGAACAUAUGUGUAAGUAACUGUGCACAUCUUGACGGUACCUAAUCAGAAAGCCACGGCUAACUACGUG